GAAUAUUGGACAAUGGGCGAAAGCCUGAUCCAGCUAUGCCGCGUGUGUGAAGAAGGUCGUCGGAUUGUAAAGCACUUUAAGUUGGGAGGAAGGGCAGUAAGCGAAUACCUUGCUGUUAUGACGUUACCGCCAGACGAAGCACUGGCUAACUAUGUGCCAGCAGCCGCGGUAAUCCAGAGGGUGCGAGCGUUAAUCGGAAUUGCUGGGGGGGAAGCGCUCGUAUGUGGUUCGUUAAGUUGGAUGUGCAAUCCCCGGGCUCAACCUGGGAACUGCAUCCAAAACUGGCGAGCUAGAGUAGGGCAGAGGGGGGUGGAAUUUCCUGUGGAGCGGUGAAAUGCGUAGAUAUAGGAAGGAACACCAGUGGCGAAGGCGACCACCUGGGCUCAUACUGACACUGAGGUGCGAAAGCGUGGGGAGCAAACAG
rnacentral:rRNA from 1 species